rnacentral:rRNA from 1 species
GACGGGGGGGGCUAGUGUUAUUCGGAAUGACUAGGCGUAAAGGGCACGUAGGCGGUGAAUCCGGUUGAAAGUGAAAGCCGCCAGCUCAACUGGCGGAAUGCUUUCAAAACCAAUUCACUUGAGUAAGAUAGAGGAUAGUGGAAUUUCGUGUGUAGAGAUAAAAUUCACAGAUAUACGAAGGAACACCAAAAGCGAAGGCAGCUUUCUGGGUCUCUACUGACGCUGAGGUGCGAAAGCAUAGGGAGCAAACAGG